rnacentral:rRNA from 1 species
UACGAAGGGGGCUAGCGUUGCUCGGAAUCACUGGGCGUAAAGCGCACGUAGGCGGAUUGUUAAGUCAGGGGGUGAAAUCCUGGAGCUCAACUCCAGAACUGCCUUUGAUACUGGCGAUCUCGAGUCCGGGAGAGGUGAGUGGAACUGCGAGUGUAGAGGUGAAAUUCGUAGAUAUUCGGAAGAACACCAGUGGCGAAGGCGGCUCACUGGACCGUUGUUGACGCUGAGGUGCGAAAGCGUGGGGAGCAAACAGG